AAAUGAGGACGUCAUUGGGCUGUGGUUCCUUAUCCGGUUUUUUUGGCCUUUUAGCAAAACCUUUUUAAGUGGUUUAGUAUGGUCUUGGGUGACGUGGCUGCUUUGUUGGAUUCCACGUGUGAUGAGAUAGUGUGAACGCCCCAAGCGGGAAGAAUAUGCCUUUUGAAUUGAUUAUUUCUUAAGUUUUUGUUUUGCCCCUUGGGAGAUGUGACGAGAUGAGAUUUAUCAAGUUCCCAAUGGCCCACCUUGGAACCCUCUGGCUCGCUCAGAAGUUCAUCUGAUCAAGCUGUUGAUUUUGGACAAUAGAAGAAAUUUUUAACACACAUAUUUCUUCAUCCACCACCUAUGGCUAUGAGUGCUUGUAUUUCUUUUAAGAGAUGGCAUGUGAAUUAUGGAAUAUAUGGUCGGUUAAGAAAAACAUAUACAUGGUACUGAAUUGCCGAAUUCUAUUGGUUAUAAAGA